AGACCACUUUCUUUCCUAUUCCCUCUAAAAACCCUAGCCGACAACUUCAUCGCAUUCUUCAUUCUUCUUUGCCAAUCUGCCCUCUCAAUUCGAAGAUGAAGAUGAGCAUCAGUCUUGAUGUAAACUCCAUGGCGUCCAGGCAUGUUUCCUUCCUGAAUCUUGAAUUUGAUGUUUUUAUUUUUUUGAAUCUAAUUUCGUUUUUCUUUAAUUUGAUUUCUGGAACCCAACGAUGGCAACGAAGUCUUCCGUAUGUGUGAAGGCCGUAAUCAACGAUGGUGAUGGCGGCGCUGAGUGUUGACGUCGCUGAACCCUAAAUCACUGACGAAGUUCCAAGUUGGUGUUUUGGUUUCAUAUGGGGUUAGCGGCAAUGACGUUUUAGCUUCCGGUAGGUUUUCUGGUCAUCCAUUUACCUUCGAUUAGAUAUGGCAUUAUGCACGGGGACGAGACUAAUUAUGGUGGAAAGAUGCCCGAACUUUGAGACCGAGUAUGUGCAAUCCUCAAGUUUAGCCAACAGGGUUCAGGAAUUUUCUAUCUUUGAGAAUUUACGGGUCAUCAUUAUUGAAGAUAUGAUAUAUCUGAUAUGUGUCAAAGAGCUUGCAGAACUUAUUAAAUUAACGAAUACCAAAGAACUGGAAUUGCAUUUUGUUGAUCUUGAACAUGAUCCACUGAAGUGGCUGCAGUUGUAUACAUGGAUUGUAGAUUCAACUAACAACAUAUGUGGAUGGUGAGCUCAUAAAAAGUUGUUUAUGUCAAAAAUGAUAGGAAGUUCCACAAGGGCCUAAAGACUAAAGAGAGUCCUGAAGGACCAUGACAGUUCGUUGGGCUAAUGCCGCACUUUGUUCCUCCACGUCAUGAUAGGUUUAACACGAUUCAAAGGGCUUUGAAUCUUGGAGUUAAUGUUAAAAUGAUUACAGGAACCGGAUGGCAGUGGAAGGUGGUUCGGCAGGGCUAGGGAGACUAUGUAUUGGAGGUCGUUGGCACCAAACGUGGAGGAUUAUAGUGGGUCGGUGGCUAGGAUGAUUGCAGCCAAGUUGGGUUACUUGAUUAAAGGAAUGUUGUGGUGUGGGGAUGUGAUAGUUGAUAUGUUGAAGUGGGGGAAGGAGUUUUUUGAAGAAGAGGAUGAAAUCACGACAAAAGUCGGAAGUUAGUCCUAAAGCUUCGAUUAGAAUGAGAAGCCUGCUUGCUUUCUUCACACCAAAACCAGAGAUAACACCCAACAACCGUUCCACUGCUUCCCACAACCUCUCCCCAGAGGCGAAAUGUUACGGUUGCCGACCACGAUCAUCGCAGGUGUGCUUCGGCAAUUAGGGUUUCAGCCGUGAUGGUCACGGCUAGGAUUCUGGUGACCCUAGAUGGUGCGGUGGCGGUGGUGGUGGCGGUGGCGGUGGCGUAGACACGGUGGCACGACUGCUGGCGUGGCUGUGGUUUCUCUGGUUUCAGUUUUGACUUUCGUGAGUUUAAUUUACCAUUUAAUUAUUAUUGUUGUUUUGUUUGCGGUUUUUGUUGAUCUGAUACGUUGUGAUUAUAAGUUGUUAAUCAGUUGAUUUGUGUGAUUGUAAGGUUAAUUUUGUUGAGUUGAUGCGAAA